rnacentral:ncRNA from 2 species
AAGCCCCCCGACGCCACCGGUGCCCGCGAGAGCGGGCUAAGAGGGAAUCCGGACGCCAAGCUGUUCUUGGCAAACCCGGAGCUGCCCCCGCAACUGUGCCCGGAUAGCGCCCUGUCCACUAUGCCACUGGGCCCGCAAGGGUCUGGGAAGGCGGGCAGGGGGCCACGACCCCGGGCGAGCCAGGAAACCUGCCGGUGUGUGGUCGUUCCG